rnacentral:rRNA from 1 species
GGCGAUUGGGGUUUGAUCAUGGCUCAGGACGAACGCUGGCGGCGCGCCUAACACAUGCAAGUCGAGCGAGAACCAGGGCUUGCCCUGGGGACAGCGGCGAACGGGUGCGUAACACGUGAGCAACCUGCCCCAAAGACCGGGACAACCCGAGGAAACUCGGACUAAUACCGGAUGCCCUCACCGGGUCGCAUGGUCUGGUGAGGAAAUGGAUUCCGCUUUGGGAUGGGCUCGCGGUCUAUCAGCUUGUUGGUGGGGUAACGGCCUACCAAGGCAACGACGGAUAGCUGGUCUGAGAGGACGAUCAGCCACACUGGGACUGAGACACGGCCCAGACUCCUACGGGAGGCAGCAGUGGGGAAUCUUGCGCAAUGGGCGAAAGCCUGACGCAGCGACGCCGCGUGGGGGAAGAAGGCUUUCGGGUUGUAAACCCCUUUCAGGAGAGACGAAGCUACUCGGGUUAAUAGCCCAGAGGGUGACGGUAUCUCCAGAAGAAGCCCCGGCUAACUACGUGCCAGCAGCCGCGGCAAUA